rnacentral:lncRNA from 1 species
AAAGCAGCUGGCAGACAGCUGGAAUUAGAGAGACAGUUAGUGCAGAUGGUUCAUUUGUGAGGGGAGGUAGAAGCGUUAGAGAGAGGAUAAAAUAAGACUAAGAAGGUAAAGAGUAACAACGUUUUGAAUGCACUUAAAGUUUAUUUGUGUUUGCAAUAAACUACACUCUUCUUUGCUAAGAACCUGACUGAGACUAAGUGAUUUACCAGGGAGGACCUGGUUGGUGGCAGCGGAUUAGUGGUGUACAGGUCAAUAGUCCGUGAGACGACCGGGGGCUCCGUACGAACUCGACACAGGGGGAUGGACUGGAUGACCCCUGAGGUCCCUUCCAAUCCCUACAAUUCUAUGUGCAGAAUCCAACCGGGCAUUAACACUGAUGAUAGUACACUGUCCACCUGAGGAUGGUAGGCUAGCCCAGGGGUGCUCAAAGGAGGCUAGCUCAGGUGUCUCAGGGGAAUGGUGGUGUGUGCAGGCUGCUGCCAAUGGGGCCAGCUGUGCAAUGAAAUUUUGGUAUAUCUGAAUAUCUUCUCUCACAGAAGGCACAACAAGCUGGUAGCCAUGAUGGUUACAUUCUGCUUCCAAUGGCUGAAGCAAGUCUAAGCCUUUCACAGACCAUGAUUUUGACAACAGCAGAAGCAGCUGGGAAGAGAGGAG